rnacentral:lncRNA from 1 species
GGGAUCCCUGAGGAUGGGAGCCAGUGCACUGAGAUCUCUCGCCUCCGAGGCUAGGGUCCUGUGGUCCGCCCGAGGGCCGCAACCCCCGCCCUUUCAUGUGCCUGCCUCGCCCCCGGCUGCGCCGAUGCUCCUGCUGCUGCUGCUGCUUACCGCGCCGGACGCCGGGGCUGCGGGACAGGGCGGCACUGGCCGGCUACUGGGACGCCGGCGCCUAGGGACACCGCAGCAUGAGGCAGAGAUCUGAGUUUCUGACUUACAUCAUUCUCCUUUUCGCUGAAGAAAUUCUUUUAACAUUUCUUGUGAGGUAGAGAAACAGGAACUAAAGAGUUUUAACUGGGCACCGCUAUAGCAGUGGCUGUUGAUCAUCGUCUCCUGGCUGGAACCAGGGAAUCCUGUCGUUCAGGGAGGAGCAACGCAGCAGCAGGCAUGCCUUCUCAGCCCCAGCUGACUCACUCUGGGGUGGAUGGAUGUAUUUACUUACUUAUUUAUUAUUUGGUUCUUGCUCUGUCGCCCAGGCUGGAGUACAGUGAUGCAAUCUCGGCUCACUGCAGCCUGGACCUCCCGGGCUCAAGCGAUCCCACCUCAGCCUCCCAAGUAGCUGGGACUUCAGGCACAUGCCACUACGCCAGCUAAUUUUUUAAACGUUUUGUAGAGACAGGCUCUCGCCCUGUUGCCCAGGCUGGUCUUGAACUCCUGGCCUCAAGCCGUCUGCCCACCUUGGCCUCCCAAAGUGCUGGGAUUACAGGUGUGAGUUACCACACUCAGCCCACUCGGUUUUGAGUGGCCAUUUGCUUUGACUCAGCAAACACUUCUGAUGGUAACAAAGCACCAACUGAGUGGCUGGUUUCAAUCCUACUCUUGCACCCAACACCGCAACAUUUUAUCUACCUGGAGCAAACGCUCUGGGGUCCUGAGGAGCUGGCCACACUGCCCAUUUUGCUGGUGGGACAGUGGGAGGCCCUGCCCUCCUCCCAUCCCACACCUCUUAGGCAAGAGCUGUGCCCAGGAAAUGUCACCUGUAACUGGUCUGCACAGACCCUGUCUUCCAAAAGGGUGCUGUGCCUCCACCAGACCCCACGGGCAGUACAUUGGUCAAGCACAUGCAAGACACGCCAAGGCCAAGGCCUGACUGAUUGGACAGUAAAGACACAAUGAGCCCCUCUCGUUCGAAGCUGAUUACUCACAGAGUGAAAAUAAGAGAAGCCUGAGGUGGCAGCUCCCUCCCGUCCUGGUGCCACACACUAAAAAGGACAGCACCGAAACAAAAGGGGUCAGAGAGCACGCGCUGAGGGACACCCACUGCGGAGCAGCCCCUGGAGACUGCGCCGGGUGGCAUCCUCAUCUGUGGCUCUGUUGUGGGGGCCAGGGGCAGGCAGCCUCCCCCUCACCAGGGCCAGCGAGGCAGGCAGUGAGGAGCAGUCUCGGGAGACAGAGGGAAUGAGAGGUGGCCUGGGUGCAGCCUGAUGUUCUGGGAGGAGCAGGCUUAGGUCAGCUGCUGUGCGCACCUCUGCGUGGCCUGUGGGGAUCCUGCAAUGGCUCAGGGCCCCACGGCAGAGCUGUCUCUCUGUCCACACAACGGACACACAACCUGACACACGGAAACUCACAGAGACACCAGAGAGGCACAUGUGACACUCAAAGACAGACCCACACAAAAGCCACGCAGGAAAGCCUUUUGCCACACGUGCACACACACAUACACACAGGUGCCCAUCCCUUCAAACCUUGGUGUUUGCCCAGACACACCUGUGUCAGAGACAGGGGACCUGCAGCUCCCCAACACACACCAGUCACCCCACACUAACCCAAGGUGUCACCAGCCAGCCUGGAGGACUUGGGAGGCCAAAUGGAGGUGGACAGUGGCCGCAGAGCAAAGGCCUUCGGUGGAUAGCACCCGACGUGAAGAGCCAUGGCGCCCACCGUGUCCACACACACAGGGGACACGCACGUCUGUGCACCAGCUCCCCCAUUCCUACACACGCAUCACCCAUCCCUGGGGCUCUGGAGGAUGAGGCCCCUCCUUCCAGACCAGGGCCUCCCUGAAGACCCAGAGGUGGUCCAGGAGUCCCCAUGCCUGAGUGACCCACUGCUCAUGUCCAUGAAAAAGAAAAGGAACUGUGUGUGUGUGUGUGUUUGUCAGCACAAUGGAAGUUUAUUUUAUAUAUAUAUAUACUUUAAGUUCUGGGGUACAUGUGCAGAACGUGCAGGUUUGUUACAUAGGUAUACACGUGCCAUGGUGGUUUGCUGCGUCCAUGAACCCAUCAUCUACAUUACAUAUUUCUCCUAAU